GAUGAAGAACGCAGCGAAAUGCGAUAAGUAAUGUGAAUUGCAGAAUUCAGUGAAUCAUCGAAUCUUUGAACGCACAUUGCGCCCGCCAGUAUUCUGGCGGGCAUGCCUGUUCGAGCGUCAUUUCAACCAUCAAGCCCCAGGCUUGUGUUGGGGACCUGCGGCUGCCGCAGGCCCUGAAAACCAGUGGCGGGCUCGCUGUCACACCGGGCGUAGUAGAUUUUAUCUCGCUCAGGGCGUGCUGCGGGUUCCGGCCGUUAAAAAGCCUUUUUUACCCAAGGUUGACCUCGGAUCAGGUAGGAGGACCCGCUGAACUUAAGCAUAUCAAUAAGCGGAGGA
rnacentral:misc_RNA from 1 species